CUUUAGGACAUCAAUUUGAACUAAAUAUGCAAAGUAACAAACACAAAUCCUUGUCUUUAAAAACUUGCAAGCAGAUUCUGUCAAUCAACUUCUGAUCUUCUGGUUAAAGACAAUGGAUUGAAAAUACACAGUUAACUCUAUCCCUUCCUAAAAUAUCGCUAAACUGACAGAAAGGAAUUUUGUACAGGCCCACAAGUUCCAAAGAAAAGAAAAAAAAAAGAGAGAUUAUAGGAAUUUAAAUUUUUUAGCUGAAAAGUUAAAUGGUAACUCAUUUAGAAACCCAAAGGACAUUGAACCCUAAGCUGUAGCUGGAAAAGACAAUCAUAUUUUCACCAUACAAUGCCCUGCCUGCAAAUGGCUCAGAAAAAUGACGGCAUCAGCUGACCCUAGAAGCUUGGGUGGAGGUGAGACUGAAUAAGGACUGGUUAAAAGUGUUUAAGACACAAAACCAGACUCUCUGCUUCAUCCUAUAGAAAUGGGCAACUGUCUGUUUUCUCUCUAGCAGGACAUUGGAAGUUCAUUCUCUGCAUGGAGUAACAAGUUGGAGGGACAUCAAUUCUGUAGAGAGCUGGGAAACCCUAUUUAAUAUUGAAACCCCACAGUUAUCUUCACCUGGCCAGCUUCCAAUAAUUGGGCAGCCAGACUUGCCUUCCAAACAGAACAGAACCUGACCAGAUGAAAAUUUACAGAUACUGAUGUUCAAAGCCUGCAGAUGUUUUUAACCUCCAAUGUUAAAGGUCUUUAUAGAGAUCAGUUCCAUCUUCUACAGAAUGGAAUAAACAUUGGUUCAAACAAAGGCAAACACCAGUUGGCAUCUCUGAGAAAAAGCUAGACUCGGUGCAUUUCAGUCACAUGUCACAGUGGUCCCACGGGAGAGCACUGAACGUCACAGAACACAGAGGUCACAAUGGAAUA
rnacentral:lncRNA from 1 species